UCGGUGAUGUCAAACGGUGCAGGCAUCAGCGGUUGCCUGUAACAGCGGCUUUCGCUGUUCUCAUACGGACACAUUAUUGUUUUUUUUUUUUGUAUAUACAGGCCUGCACUUGUAAAUGUUUAUUCGCUGUUAACCGUAAUUAGAGAACAAGCGGGCGUUUAAGCUUCAUACACAGAGUCGUGUAGUCUGGCUAUCAAUACAUAAAAUGGAGGACUCGCCGAGUCCUCAAGAUACUCUCUCGCAAAUCUGGAUGCUAUACACGGCCAAGAACGAGCAAAAGUAUUUUGAAGACUAUGCUUACCAUUUUCUUGAUAUUUACAAAAAUGUGCUGAAAUCUGAAUUUCAUGAUUCAUCUAAUGCUGACAUUCAACAACUUAAUUAAAGAGACCGUCCAGAAGAG
rnacentral:lncRNA from 1 species